rnacentral:rRNA from 1 species
GACGAACGCUGGCGGCGUGCCUAACACAUGCAAGUCGAGCGAAUGAAGUUCUUUCGGGAAUGGAUUUAGCGGCGGACGGGUGAGUAACACGUGGGCAACCUGCCUCAUAGAGGGGAAUAGCCUUCCGAAAGGGAGAUUAAUACCGCAUAAGAUUGUAGUACCGCAUGGUACAGCAAUUAAAGGAGCAAUCCGCGAUGAGAUGGGCCCGCGGCGCAUUAGCUAGUUGGUGAGGUAACGGCUCACCAAGGCGACGAUGCGUAGCCGACCUGAGAGGGUGAUCGGCCACAUUGGGACUGAGACACGGCCCAGACUCCUACGGGAGGCAGCAGUGGGGAAUAUUGCACAAUGGGGGAAACCCUGAUGCAGCAACGCCGCGUGAGUGAUGACGGCCUUCGGGUUGUAAAGCUCUGUCUUCAGGGACGAUAAUGACGGUACCUGAGGAGGAAGCCACGGCUAACUACGUGCCAGCCGCCGCCGUAA